UACGUAGGGUGCGAGCGUUGUCCGGAAUUAUUGGGCGUAAAGGGCUCGUAGGCGGUUUGUCGCGUCGGGUGUGAAAUCAUCUGGCUUAACUGGGUGCUUGCUUUCGAUACGGGCAGACUAGAGGUAUGCAGGGGAGAACGGAAUUCCUGGUGUAGCGGUGAAAUGCGCAGAUAUCAGGAGGAACACCGGUGGCGAAGGCGGUUCUCUGGGCAUGAUCUGACGCUGAGGAGCGAAAGUGUGGGGAGCGAACAGG
rnacentral:rRNA from 1 species